rnacentral:sRNA from 1 species
GCCAGGCGCAGUGGCUCACGCCUGUAAUCCCAGUGACUCAGGAGGCUGAGGCAGGAGGAUCACUAGUUCAAAGCCAGCCUCAGCAAUGGUGAGGUGCUAAGCAACAGAGUGAGACCUUGUCUCUA